CGCCGGACGAGCGAAAACACGGUCCCGGUCGGUAGUCCGGGCGCUCGCUGCGGCGAGUCAGUAACCUCCCUCCCAGGGUGUCCGGCCCGUCCUCUCGAUGC
rnacentral:ncRNA from 1 species